rnacentral:rRNA from 1 species
GAUGAACGCUAGCGGGAGGCCUAACACAUGCAAGCCGAGCGGUAUUUGUCAUUCGUGACAGAGAGAGCGGCGUACGGGUGCGUAACACGUGUGCAACCUGCCUUUAUCUGGGAGAUAGCCUUUCGAAAGGAAGAUUAAUACCCCAUAAUAUAUAGAUUGGCAUCGAUUUAUAUUGAAAGCUUCGGCGGAUAGAGAUGGGCACGCGCAAGAUUAGAUAGUUGGUGAGGUAACGGCUCACCAAGUCGAUGAUCUUUAGGGGUCCUGAGAGGGAGAUCCCCCACACUGGUACUGAGACACGGACCAGACUCCUACGGGAGGCAGCAGUGAGGAAUAUUGGACAAUGGGUGGAAGCCUGAUCCAGCCAUCCCGCGUGAAGGAUUAAGGUUCUAUGGACUGUAAACUUCUUUUGUACAGGGAUAAACCUACUCUCGUGAGAGUAGCUGAAGGUACUGUACGAAUAAGCACCGGCUAACUCCGUGCCAGCCGCCGAC